rnacentral:rRNA from 1 species
UACGGGGGAGCAAGCGUUGUCCGGAGUUACUGGGCGUAAAGGGCGCGCAGGCGGUUGGUCACAUCGGCGGUGAAAGCCCCCGGCUCAACUGGGGAGGGUCACGCGAUACUGUUCGACUUGAAGGCAGGAGAGGGAAGUGGAAUUCCCGGUGUAGUGGUGAAAUGCGUAGAUAUCGGGAGGAACACCAGUGGCGAAGGCGACUUCCUGGCCUGUUCUUGACGCUGAGGCGCGAAAGCUAGGGUAGCAAACGGG